GGCUCUUAAUUAUGUGAUUAACAGGUGAUUAACACGACAAUAAAUAGUGUUUAAGACGCAAAUUAACUUAAUUAGGCAUUUGGAGUGCCCAGGGACGUCUAUCCGACUUUACAGUACGCGUAUGAAGAUUCGCGUGGAAUCUGCAACAACGAACUGAUACCGUGCAAAAUACUGACAACGCCGACAAAUACGGAUUUUCUACGAAUAUUUUAUAAAUAUAAUUUUACGAAUGUAUUGGGUUUCUGUGCGACCCAAACGCAAACGUGAACUAAAAACGCGAUAGCAGGAAACGCAUCGGCAACGAAACGAAAGCGACGGAGGCGUUUGUCACCUUCAGAACUUACAUUUUACGCUAUAUUUAGUUCCGUAAUGGAAUUUUAGUAGUUACAGUCGAAAUCGGAUCGAAAAACGGAUUAGAAACGACCUCUUGAGCAAAUUUCGCGAUUUUAACGCAACUGACGAACGAACGCGUCAACCGUCAACUUCCGACGCUAUUUUACAUACCCUCGAUCCUAAAAUGACAUUGUACGACAUUACACGACGUUCCGGUGCAAAACGGGCUUUAGAAACGAGAUCGGGGGGUUCAAAAUGCUAGAAACAGGCUUGUGGGCCUUGUGCCCAAGCCCACAAAACCUUCACUAUAUAAAGGGUUUUACCCCUAAAAUCUUUCAUUUCAACUAAACUUUCUCUCUCUAACCCUCAAAUCCUCUCAACUCUCUCUCUCUAGAAACAAGUCCGGCGAGAAUUCCGGCCGACUUCCGGCGGAGAUCCGGCGACCGGCGACUUUUCCGGCGGAGUUCCGGCGACCGACGAUUUUCCGGCGAAUUUUCCGGCGGCCGUUUUUCGGCCAAGAGUACACUUUUUCGACUAUAUCCGACGUUCCGGAUCGCGUGAUGCUUAGAUCGGGACUUGAGGAGCAUUUCUGCAAAUUUUCAAGAAAUUUUAUUCUCCGGCGAAAUCCCGACUUCUGACAUGGUUUUGGCGAGGUUCCAGCCGUCCGUUUUCGACGAAAAUUAUAUUUUUGGGCUCCUAGUGACCCGUAGAGUCCAUACGAAACACUUUCGUCUCGGGUGAAAAUUUAAGUUCGGGACGCUCUCGGGCUCGGGUCAACGCGGUCAACAGGUCAAACACGGGUCAAGAGGCAGUUUUGGGUCAUUUUUAGUGCCUCGGUUCAGUUUCGGGUCCGGUCAACCCUGGUCAACACGGGUCAAACGUGGUCAAAGGUGGUCAAAGCUGGUCAAAUUCAGUCAACUGCUGGUCAACGCAGUCAACUCAGUCAACACGAGGCUCGGAAUGUCAUAGGUGCACGCUAGCUAAUUCAUGUUCUUGGAACAACACUUCGGAGUCACGCUAGGCUAGCAUUGCACAGGAAUGUCAAGGUUGCAUUUUUCAAAACUAUGGAACGGUUGGAAUAGGAAAACC